UAGGGAAUAUUGGUAAUGUGCGAAAGCGCGAACCAGCAACGCCGCGUGCACGAUGAAGGCCUUCGGGUUGUAAAGUGCUUUUAGAGGGGAUGAGGAAGGACAGUACUUUCUGAAUAAGCCUCGGCUAACUACGUGCCAGCAGCCGCGGUAAAACGUAGGAGGCUAGCGUUAUCCGGAUUUACUGGGCGUAAAGCGCGUGCAGGUGGUUUCGUAAGUUGGAUGUGAAAGCUCCUGGCUUAACUGGGAGAGGUCGUUCAAAACUGCGAGGCUUGAGAGUGGUAGAGGGAGGUGGAAUUCCGGGUGUAGUGGUGAAAUGCGUAGAUAUCCGGAGGAACACCAGUGGCGAAAGCGGCCUCCUGGACCAUUUCUGACACUCAGACGCGAAAGCUAAGGUAGCAAACG
rnacentral:rRNA from 1 species